AAAGAAGACCAGGACAUCAGAGAUGGACCUGGUGCUGAUGUCGAUAGUUACAUACAAAGCUUGAUAAAAGUUCAAGAUGCCAUUAAAUUUUUUGAAGACAAUAAUCCCAACAGUCCUGAGUUAUCCCUCCUUACAUCAUUAAUGGAAA